rnacentral:rRNA from 1 species
GACGAACGCUGGCGGCGUGCCUAAUACAUGCAAGUUGAGCGAUGAAGAUUGGUGCUUGCACCAAUUUGAAGAGCAGCGAACGGGUGAGUAACGCGUGGGGAAUCUGCCUUUGAGCGGGGGACAACAUUUGGAAACGAAUGCUAAUACCGCAUAACAACUUUAAACAUAAGUUUUAAGUUUGAAAGAUGCAAUUGCAUCACUCAAAGAUGAUCCCGCGUUGUAUUAGCUAGUUGGUGAGGUAAAGGCUCACCAAGGCGAUGAUACAUAGCCGACCUGAGAGGGUGAUCGGCCACAUUGGGACUGAGACACGGCCCAAACUCCUACGGGAGGCAGCAGGAGGGGAUCUUCGGCAAUGGACGAAAGUCUGACCGAGCAACGCCGCGUGAGUGAAGAAGGUUGUCGGAUCGUAAAACUCUGUUGGUAGAGAAGAACGUUGGUGAGAGUGGAAAGCUCAUCAAGUGACGGUAACUACCCAGAAAGGGACGGCUAACUACGUG